rnacentral:rRNA from 1 species
GAUGAACGCUGGCGGCGUGCCUAAUACAUGCAAGUCGAGCGAACAGACGAGGAGCUUGCUCCUCUGACGUUAGCGGCGGGCGGGUGAGUAACACGUGGAUAACCUACCUAUAAGACUGGGAUAACUUCGGGAAACCGGAGCUAAUACCGGAUAAUAUAUUGAACCGCAUGGUUCAAUAGUGAAAGACGGUUUUGCUGUCACUUAUAGAUGGAUCCGCGCCGCAUUAGCUAGUUGGUAAGGUAACGGCUUACCAAGGCAAUGAUGCGUAGCCGACCUGAGAGGGUGAUCGGCCACACUGGAACUGAGACACGGUCCAGACUCCUACGGGAGGCAGCAGUAGGGAAUCUUCCGCAAUGGGCGAAAGCCUGACGGAGCAACGCCGCGUGAGUGAUGAAGGUCUUCGGAUCGUAAACUCUGUUAUUAGGGAAGAACAAAUGUGUAAGUAACUAUGCACGUCUUGACGGUACCUAAUCAGAAAGCCACGGCUAACUACGUG